UCAAGUCAAAAAGUUGGAGCUGUUGAACAGCUGAGUCCAGCCCCAAAAUGGGAUCAAGGCACGGAGAAAGUGUGUGACCAGACGCAGGACCUUAGACAUACCCCAUAUAUUCCUCUACAGACAGCACAUUUCAAUAUUCUGGACAGGCCAUUUGCCUUCUACUAAUAUCUCAUUAAAUCCCAGGAGGAGCGAGGAGGUCCGAGACCAGCCGCCCGCCUGCAGCGCCCGGCGCCGGUGACCCAUGGCAGCCCAAACAGCAUCAGCCAGAACCCAGUUGUAACUUCUGCCUCAACUUUUGACAAGGGGAUUAUAUAGAUAAUUAUAGAAAAGAGUGCGGAUUACUUCAAAAACAAUGAUCAUAAGGCUGCAAAGUUCUGUGGAUGAAGCCCUGGCCUUGCCAAAGCCCCCAAGACUUCUGUCCGUCACUGCAAGAGAGCAGGAUGAAUCUUUAGUUUUUGAAGACUACUACAUAGGACACAAAGAUUUUGGUAGCUAUUUUUGUGCUGCAAGGUGAACUGCAGAUCCAAGAGCAGGAUUCAGCAGACUAAACCCUGAGACUCGCGAGUUUCUCUUUCACUCUGGUCAGGAAGUGCCAUCCAGGAGAUUUGUCGGCUGAGGCCCUGGACCCGUCCAUAAUCCGUCCAUUGGGACUGAAUAAUGAAGAGCUUGACCGGCACUGCCGCAGCAAGCACAUUGGAGUUCCCUCCUCCCAAAGCGUUCUCAUGCUUGGGACAAAAACACCCCGGUAGCACGGUCUGAAGGUUUGAACGUGGAUGACAGCUAAAUCUGAACUGGAGAAGGCUCAAAACAAUGCGUAACUACCAGCGUAUGCACGUUCACCUGGAAUGAACAAACCAGCCCCUUAUUAUCAGUUUAGUUUGCAUUAUUAAUAGAAAAAACAUGAAUCCAAAUGUCAUCACCUUUACCGAUACUGAACAGUAACUCAACCUAUUACUACUCCUACUGAUCUCAGCAGGACAACCCACAGGGCAAGGCAUCUUUGGAAAGGAGGGUAAGAGAACCUGCAUACAAUACACAGGAAAAAAUACAAUGAUUGUUCUCAAGACAUAAACUUUAUGCCAAAGAGAAUCAGGGUGCAGGAGAUGGCACAGUCUGUGUGUACCUGCGUUUUGCUUGGUGUUGCUCAGAACGUACAAACAGUGCAGAGCGUGAGGAAAUCUGAUGUUUGUUCUCUGUACCAACCACAAACAAAAUGUUUCUAUUCACUUGUAACGUAUUAUCCACAAUUUUGCUGGCUUUGAGUCAUUUACAAGUGAAAUAACAUGACACCAAAGCUUGCUUCAGCAUAACAGAAGGUUUGCCAUCAACUUACAGAAGUCCAAAAUGGCCCUUUAAAUAAAUCAGCAAAAUCUGUAAAUCCGUAUUUUGAAUCGAUUAGGUGGGAAUUUAUUCCCAUAAAAUGCAUGAAGUUCUUCCAGUAUCAGUUCUUCUCAAUUGACUUUGGUUGUUUUGCUUCCUGAGGACAAAGAGUAUACAUUUUCACAAAGUUCCAGGCACAGUAUCACUGAGCUUUGCGUUUCAUGCUCUGGCCUUGUCCCAACGCAUGCUUAGAGCUGCGGAAACAGGAGAGGACCUGACCUAAGCAGCACUAAACUGGCUUCCCAAGUUAGGGGCAACUACUGCUGUAACACUAUUAACACCCAUAAAUGCUUGCAACAUCCGUAUCAGCUUUAGGGGCCUUGAUUUAUUUCCUCACCACUACCUUUUCCGGAAAGCUUUAGAUCAUGUACUUACUCAGGUGAGAUAGUUUCUUCGUUAGAACACUGUCUUCAUGUUAAUAUUGUAAUUUUGGUGUGUAUUUAAGUCACGCCUCUCCUAGAUAGCUGACAAAAGUAUCAUGCACGUGCUGUUAUAAUAAUCUGAAUCUUACCUCAGCUUCACUAAGGAUUUAAAGAAUGCAUACAUUCAGAUUUGCACAGAAUAAUAAAUGAUGCUAUGAUUCACAUUCAGUUACUUCACAGCUUGUUUUUGAGAAAUAGUUCCUCAAUAAAAGAAAUGUAAAGUUUCAGAAAUGGUAUGUUUUUCCAGGGAUUUUGUUGUUAAUAACUGGAAGAACUAAAGAAAAAAAAAAUAGAUUUUUUUUCCUCCUCAUAAUCACUUAUACUGCCUAUAAAACCAGUUAUAUAGAAAACAAUUCCUUUGGAAGCCCAAACUAAGUAUCAACAGUUUUAACCAAAAGUAUAGGGUUUUUGUUUUGUUUUGUUUGUUUGUUUGUUUAAGUUGACGGUAUCAAGGCCUGAAAGGGAUACAUUCUGCCUGCCUAAUCUCAGCCUUGCCACUAAACUUAAGGAUUUUGUUGUAAUAAAUUCACUAAAAUUAUUCUGUAAAUAGCUUGUGAUAUUAAGCAGUGGCACAUUAAACCAAACAGUAUUUACAUUUAUAUCCAUAAAGCUUAGAUCAAAACGUUCAUGUAGGCAGAUAAUUAUUAGGUAAUAAAACCAAAGCAGCUGCAAAAAAAUACUUAUCCUUUUAAAGUUCAGAGUUGAUUUUUCAAAAGCACACUGAUUAAUAUUAGUUCAGUUCAGGAACAAGUAAGCAGAUGAAACAAUGAUGUAAAACCAAUUUAGCCAACACUUCACACAGCUGACUGGGGUUAUUUCAUUCUUUAAUUUGUUAUUGUGAAAGAGAAAAUAAAACAAACAGAUAUUAUACAUUUCAGAGCCUAUUGACAGAGCAAAAAAUACAAGCAAGAGAAAUUAAAAUAUUCUCAGAUAUCUUUCACAUUGGUAUUUCAACUGAAAUUCAGCAAAGCACAAAAAUGAACGAGAACAGCAUGUUUUACAAGGGCAGUUCCCUCCACCCCCUCUGUUUCACUUCUACUAAACAAAAUUUUACGUGGUCAACAGGGGUCUGCAUAAUGUUUGAACUGUGUCCAGCCCAACAUUUUGAUUCCCUAAAAUUCCAAAUUUCAAAUAGUCUAUAAAAGCAACAGGAUAACAACUACACAGUUGUCUGACCACUACUGUAUCUUGCAAGGUGCAGUAAGAAAGAUGCCCAUGCCAGCGUGAAUUGAGUAUAUUACAAACCUGACAGAUGGGGUCAAUGCCCCAUCUGCAAGGGGAAACAAAGCCAAGGCAGACAAAACCAGAAACCACAUGCAUAAGCAAAAGUAUAAAAUUUAAGUAAAAAUAUUAUUGACAAUCUAUUUGCAUCAGCCCAAGCCUGGGGUCAGAAGUCAGCUCUCUGAGCUGCCUGCGUGACGGCCAUUUAGUGCCGCUUGGAAAUCUGGAAGCCUACUGCACUGUUUAGGGUUGUGGACAUCAGAAAGGCCUGGGGAAGUGGCCAAAACCAGUCCAAACAAGACUUCCAAGUAGAAAGAGAUAAAAUAACCAAAGAAAACGUGGUAGCUCUGUAUGCACUAUACAAUGAUGGUCCACAACCAAGCAUCAAGGCUUGGUUAGCCUUGAUGCCGUUAGAAGGCUGCCUCUAUAAGUAAUGCUUAAAUAACAGAGGUCACUAAAAACACAGAUCACCACAGUUGCUAGCGUAUGUGCCAUGAGGGAACAGGGACAUGAAAACGAAUGAAAUUGUGAAUAUCACUAGAGCAAACCCCUGCUCUUGCAGUUUACCAUCAGGUAUCUAGUAAAUUGUGUAGGCUUCGCUCUUUAAAACACAAAGUGUUAAGGUAGGUUCUGGAAAACCCACGUGACAAACUUCUUCCAACUCAAGAGUUUAAGCAGCAUGGUAAUGUUCAAGCAUCCCUACCAAAAGCUCAACCAACAGAUGCAAAAAUCCUUCAGUGCAGUCAGCAGACAAGCUGACUGCCCAAGCAAAGGCUGAAAUCCAUUAAGUAUCUCCCUUUUUAUCCUCAGGUCAGCCAGCUCCACGUUUACAGAAAAGCAUUUACAGACCUUUCAGUAAAGUUACCUGACAGGCAAAUGUACCAAGAGAGAGAUCCUUACAAGUUUUUGGGGGCAGGUUUAAUCCCACCACCCCAAGACAGCUACAGAGAAAUCCAACAGAAGGGAUGAAGACAGUGACAGGAAACACCUUUCCCCACCCCCCCCCUUCAGCAAGACGCAUUGCGUAUUUCAUAUCCUCGUUCUAAAGAUCAUUGUAAAGAAGAGCGAGGGCUUUUUUCCUCUCUCUCUUUUUUUCUUUUGUAAAUACUUAACGGGAGAAACAGGUAGACCUACGACGGAAGCCCGGAACCGCCAUUUGCCGGGCACUGUCCCACCACAGGCGCCAGCUCCUGCGGCGGACUUCGGGGAGGGGAAACAAACUUCAGGCAGAACUCGGCGCCUCCCUUCUCCCGACCUCGCUCGGGCAACGCACGGGCACCGGACACAGCCCCGGGCCCGGCCGG